rnacentral:rRNA from 2 species
GGUGUGACUGCGUACCUUUUGUAUAAUGGGUCAGCGACUUAUAUUCUGUAGCAAGGUUAACCGUAUAGGGGAGCCGCAGGGAAACCGAGUCUUAACUGGGCGUUAAGUUGCAGGGUAUAGACCCGAAACCCGGUGAUCUAGCCAUGGGCAGGUUGAAGGUUGGGUAACACUAACUGGAGGACCGAACCGACUAAUGUUGAAAAAUUAGCGGAUGACUUGUGGCUGGGGGUGAAAGGCCAAUCAAACCGGGAGAUAGCUGGUUCUCCCCGAAAGCUAUUUAGGUAGCGCCUCGUGAAUUCAUCUUCGGGGGUAGAGCACUGUUUCGGCUAGGGGGUCAUCCCGACUUACCAACCCGAUGCAAACUACGAAUACCGAAGAAUGUUAUCACGGGAGACACACGGCGGGUGCUAACGUCCGUCGUGAAGAGGGAAACAACCCAGACCGCCAGCUAAGGUCCCAAAGUCAUGGUUAAGUGGGAAACGAUGUGGGAAGGCACAGACAGCCAGGAUGUUGGCUUAGAAGCAGCCAUCAUUUAAAGAAAGCGUAAUAGCUCACUGGUCGAGUCGGCCUGCGCGGAAGAUGUAACGGGGCUAAACCAUGCACCGAAGCUGCGGCAGCGACACUAUGUGUUGUUGGGUAGGGGAGCGUUCUGUAAGCCUGCGAAGGUGGCCUGUGAGGGUUGCUGGAGGUAUCAGAAGUGCGAAUGCUGACAUAAGUAACGAUAAAGCGGGUGAAAAGCCCGCUCGCCGGAAGACCAAGGGUUCCUGUCCAACGUUAAUCGGGGCAGGGUGAGUCGACCCCUAAGGCGAGGCCGAAAGGCGUAGUCGAUGGGAAACAGGUUAAUAUUCCUGUACUUGGUGUUACUGCGAAGGGGGGACGGAGAAGGCUAUGUUAGCCGGGCGACGGUUGUCCCGGUUUAAGCAUGUAGGCGGAGGUUCCAGGUAAAUCCGGUACCUUUUAACGCUGAGGUGUGAUGACGAGGCACUACGGUGCUGAAGUAACAAAUGCCCUGCUUCCAGGAAAAGCCUCUAAGCAUCAGGUAACAUCAAAUCGUACCCCAAACCGACACAGGUGGUCAGGUAGAGAAUACCAAGGCGCUUGAGAGAACUCGGGUGAAGGAACUAGGCAAAAUGGUGCCGUAACUUCGGGAGAAGGCACGCUGGUGUGUAGGUGAAGUCCCUGCGGACGGAGCUGAGACCAGUCGAAGAUACCAGCUGGCUGCAACUGUUUAUUAAAAACACAGCACUGUGCAAACACGAAAGUGGACGUAUACGGUGUGACGCCUGCCCGGUGCCGGAAGGUUAAUUGAUGGGGUUAUCCGUAAGGAGAAGCUCUUGAUCGAAGCCCCGGUAAACGGCGGCCGUAACUAUAACGGUCCUAAGGUAGCGAAAUUCCUUGUCGGGUAAGUUCCGACCUGCACGAAUGGCGUAAUGAUGGCCAGGCUGUCUCCACCCGAGACUCAGUGAAAUUGAACUCGCUGUGAAGAUGCAGUGUACCCGCGGCAAGACGGAAAGACCCCGUGAACCUUUACUAUAGCUUGACACUGAACAUUGAGCCUUGAUGUGUAGGAUAGGUGGGAGGCUUUGAAGCGUGGACGCCAGUCUGCGUGGAGCCAACCUUGAAAUACCACCCUUUAAUGUUUGAUGUUCUAACGUUGGCCCCUUAUCGGGGUUGCGGACAGUGUCUGGUGGGUAGUUUGACUGGGGCGGUCUCCUCCCAAAGAGUAACGGAGGAGCACGAAGGUUAGCUAAUCCUGGUCGGACAUCAGGAGGUUAGUGCAAUGGCAUAAGCUAGCUUGACUGCGAGCGUGACGGCGCGAGCAGGUGCGAAAGCAGGUCAUAGUGAUCCGGUGGUUCUGAAUGGAAGGGCCAUCGCUCAACGGAUAAAAGGUACUCCGGGGAUAACAGGCUGAUACCGCCCAAGAGUUCAUAUCGACGGCGGUGUUUGGCACCUCGAUGUCGGCUCAUCACAUCCUGGGGCUGAAGUAGGUCCCAAGGGUAUGGCUGUUCGCCAUUUAAAGUGGUACGCGAGCUGGGUUUAGAACGUCGUGAGACAGUUCGGUCCCUAUCUGCCGUGGGCGCUGGAGAAUUGAGGGGGGCUGCUCCUAGUACGAGAGGACCGGAGUGGACGCAUCACUGGUGUUCGGGUUGUCAUGCCAAUGGCACUGCCCGGUAGCUAAAUGCGGAAGAGAUAAGUGCUGAAAGCAUCUAAGCACGAAACUUGCCCCGAGAUGAGUUCUCCCUGAGACUUUAAGUCUCCUGAAGGAACGUUGAAGACGACGACGUUGAUAGGCCGGGUGUGUAAGCGCAGCGAUGCGUUGAGCUAACCGGUACUAAUGAACCGUGAGGCUUAACCUU